rnacentral:rRNA from 1 species
GCGCACCAGGCGCGAAAACUUUACAAUGUGCGAAAGCACGAUAAGGGAACUCUGAGUGCCUCCUAAGGAGGCUGUUCAGGUGUCUAAAAAGCACCUGGAGUAAGGGCUGGGUAAGACCGGUGCCAGCCGCCGCGGUAACACCGGCAGCCCAGGUGGUAGCCACUUUUAUUGGGUCUAAAGCGUCCGUAGCCGGUUGAGUAAGUUCCUUGGGAAAUUUGGCUGCUCAACAGUCAAGCUUCCAGGGAAUACUGCUCGACUUGGGACUGGGAGAGGUCAGAGGUACUCCAGGGGUAGGGUGAAAUCCAUUAAUCCCCUGGGGGACCACCGGUAGCGAAGGCGUCUGACCAGACCAGGGUCCGACGGUGAGGGACGAAGGCUAGGGUCGCGAACCGGAUUAGAUA